rnacentral:rRNA from 1 species
GACGAACGCUGGCGGCGUGCCUAAUACAUGCAAGUCGAACGCAGUGGGGCCGGGUGAGUAACACGUGGGUAACCUCCCAUCAGAGGGGAUAACACUUGGGAACAGGUGCUAAACCGAUACUGAUGGAUGGACCCGCGGUGCAUUAGCGAGUUGGUGAGGUAACGGCUCACCAAGGCCACGAUGCAUAGCGGACCUGAGAGGGUGAUCGGCCACACGGGGACUGAGAAACGGCCCAAACUCCUACGUGAGGCAGCAGGAGGGCAUCUGCGGCAAUGGACGAAAGUCUGAACGAGCAAAGCCGCGUGAGUGAAGAAGGUUUUCGGAUCGUAAAACUCUUUUGUUAGAGAAGCGGUAUCUAACCAGAAAGCCACGGCUAACUACGUGCCAGCAGCCGCGGUAAUUC